CAAAAUGUAGCUUAAAUAGUAAAGCACCUCCCUUACACCGAGGACAAACCCGCGCACUUCGAGUCAUUUUGA
rnacentral:tRNA from 3 species